CACUGGAUCAGAACUUGGUUUGUACUACUGCGCUCUACAUGAGACCAAGUUUUCUAGAAAUAAGAAUGGAGAAAGACUAAAAGAGGAUAUUUAUCAUGAUGGGAACAGAACCACUUUCCUCUCUUUCCAGGACACAACGGUUCCUUGUGCCAAUCUCUCCGAAACCCCCUCCACCCCUCCUGUAUCAGACUGUAGUGUCUGCUGGAAGCUGCUGGUCAGUGUGUGUCCUGUGUGUGUUCUCCUCUCCUCAGUGGUCUCCUCCAUCUGUGUGUACUGCAUCUGCACCACCAGAACUAAAGCUGAUCAUGACGCAGACCAGCAAAGGAAUAUCAGCAUGAGAAAACAUGAUGAGGUUGGAAAUGAUGUUUGCUAUGCUUCAUUGGACGUCCCGAGUGGUCAUAAGAAACGGCCGAAGACGAGGACAGUUGAAAGCUCUGAUUUCUGCACAUAUUCUCAGGUUAAAAUUUGAGAAAAUGUAGAACUUCUGAGGAGUACGCUGGGCGAUCAGGAGGUCCAAGAAUGAAGGUACCUCAGACAUCAAGUUUGG